CCUACGGGGGGCUGCAGUGGGGAAUAUUGGACAAUGGGGGCAACCCUGAUCCAGCCAUGCCGCGUGUGUGAAGAAGGCCCUCGGGUUGUAAAGCACUUUCAGUGAGGAAGAACGCCUGGUGGUUAAUACCCAGCAGGAAAGACAUCACUCACAGAAGAAGCACCGGCUAACUCCGUGCCAGCAGCCGCGGUAAUACGGAGGGUGCGAGCGUUAAUCGGAAUUACUGGGCGUAAAGCGCGCGUAGGUGGCUUGAUAAGCCGGUUGUGAAAGCCCCGGGCUCAACCUGGGAACGGCAUCCGGAACUGUCAAGCUAGAGUGCAGGAGAGGAAGGUAGAAGUCCCGGUGUAGCGGUGAAAUGCGUAGAGAUCGGGAGGAAUACCAGUGGCGAAGGCGGCCUUCUGGACUGACACUGACACUGAGGUGCGAAAGCGUGGGUAGCAAACAGGAUUAGAUACCCCUGUAGUC
rnacentral:rRNA from 1 species